ACAAUUUCCGUCAACGGUCUCCUCCUCAGCCGAUCGGCCUCGGGCAUUUCCGGUCCCCUUCGGGCUUUUCCGUCUGGCUCCCGCGCGGAUCUCACCACUUCGGGUAUUUCCGUGUCCCACUCGGAGGUACUCGGCAAUCGCUCGGCCUCCCCCAUCCCCCGGUAACGGUCGCUGGUGAGUUUAAAUGAGCCGGGGCUGGCCGGGCCGGAGCCGCUACGGGGGGGGCCUGAGGCACUGCAGAAAGUGGGCCUGAGCCUCAAGGAUGACGGUGCUGCAGGAACCCGUCCAGGCUGCUAUAUGGCAAGCACUAAACCACUAUGCUUACCGAGAUGCAGUUUUUCUUGCAGAACGACUGUAUGCAGAAGUACACUCAGAGGAAGCCUUGUUUUUAUUGGCAACCUGUUAUUACCGCUCAGGAAAGGCAUAUAAAGCAUAUAGACUCUUGAAAGGACACAGUUGUACUACACCGCAGUGUAAAUACCUGCUUGCAAAAUGUUGUGUUGAUCUCAGCAAGCUUGCAGAAGGGGAACAGAUCUUAUCUGGUGGAGUGUUUAAUAAGCAGAAAAGCCAUGAUGAUAUUGUUACUGAGUUUGGUGAUUCAGCUUGCUUUACUCUUUCAUUGUUGGGACAUGUAUAUUGCAAGACAGAUCGGCUUGCCAAAGGAUCAGAAUGUUACCAAAAGAGCCUUAGUUUAAAUCCUUUCCUCUGGUCCCCCUUUGAAUCAUUAUGUGAAAUAGGUGAAAAGCCAGAUCCUGACCAAACAUUUAAAUUAACAUCUUUACAGAACUUUAGCAACUGUCUGCCCAGCUCUUGCACAACACUAGUAUCUAAUCAUAGUUUAUCUCAUAGACAACCCGAGACCGUUCUUACAGAAACACCCCAGGACACAAUUGAAUUAAACAGACUGAAUUUAGAAUCUUCCAAUUCAAAGUACUCCUUGAAUACAGAUUCCUCAGUGUCUUAUAUUGAUUCAGCUGUAAUUUCACCAGAUACUGUCCCUCUUGGAACAGGAACUUCCAUAUUAUCUAAACAGGUUCAAAAUAAACCAAAAACUGGUCGAAGCUUAUUAGGAGGACCAGCUGCUCUUAGCCCAUUAACCCCAAGUUUUGGGAUUUUGCCAUUAGAAACCCCAAGUCCUGGAGAUGGAUCCUAUUUACAAAACUACACUAAUACAUCUUCUGUAAUUGACGUGCCAUCUACUGGAGCCCCUUCAAAAAAGUCUGUUGCCAGAAUCGGCCAAACUGGAACAAAGUCUGUCUUCUCACAGAGCGGAAAUAGUCGAGAGGUAACUCCAAUUCUUGUUGCACAAACACAAAGUUCUGGCCCACAAACAAGUACAACACCUCAGGUAUUGAGCCCCACUAUCACAUCUCCCCCAAACGCACUGCCUCGAAGAAGUUCGCGACUCUUUACUAGUGACAGCUCUACAACCAAGGAGAAUAGCAAAAAGUUAAAAAUGAAGUUUCCACCUAAAAUCCCAAACAGAAAAACUAAAAGUAAAACUAACAAAGGAGGAAUAACUCAACCUAACUUAAAUGAUAGCCUGGAAAUUACAAAAUUGGACUCUUCCAUCAUUUCAGAAGGGAAAAUCUCCACAAUCACACCUCAGAUCCAGGCAUUUAAUCUGCAGAAAGCAGCAGCAGAAGGUUUGAUGAGCCUUCUUCGUGAAAUGGGGAAAGGUUAUUUAGCUCUGUGCUCAUACAACUGCAGAGAAGCUAUAUAUAUCUUGAGCCACCUACCUUCUCACCACUACAAUACUGGUUGGGUACUGUGCCAAAUUGGAAGGGCCUAUUUUGAACUGUCAGAGUACAUGCAGGCUGAAAGAAUAUUCUCCGAGGUUAGAAGGAUUGAGAAUUACAGAGUCGAAGGCAUGGAGAUCUACUCUACAACACUUUGGCAUCUUCAGAAAGAUGUUGCUCUUUCAGUUCUUUCAAAAGACUUAACAGACAUGGAUAAAAAUUCACCAGAGGCCUGGUGUGCUGCAGGGAACUGUUUCAGUUUGCAACGGGAACAUGAUAUUGCAAUUAAAUUCUUCCAGAGAGCUAUCCAGGUUGAUCCAAAUUAUGCUUAUGCCUAUACUCUACUAGGGCACGAGUUUGUGUUAACUGAAGAAUUAGACAAAGCAUUAGCUUGUUUUCGAAAUGCUAUCAGAGUCAAUCCGAGACAUUACAAUGCAUGGUAUGGCUUAGGAAUGAUUUAUUACAAGCAAGAAAAAUUCAGCCUUGCAGAAAUGCAUUUCCAGAAAGCACUUGAUAUCAACCCUCAAAGUUCAGUUUUACUUUGCCACAUUGGAGUAGUUCAGCAUGCACUGAAAAAAUCUGAGAAGGCUUUGGAUACCCUAAACAAAGCCAUUGUUAUUGAUCCCAAGAACCCUCUAUGCAAAUUUCACAGAGCCUCAGUUUUAUUUGCAAAUGAAAAAUAUAAGUCUGCUUUACAAGAACUUGAAGAAUUGAAACAAAUUGUUCCCAAAGAAUCCCUCGUUUACUUCUUAAUAGGAAAGUGCUGCUGUUUAUUUUUAGGUUUACAAGAAGUUAGGUCAAACGCACCUCGCCCUGAUGAAUUUCUCUUGGGCUAUGGAUUUAGAUCCUAAAGGAGCCAAUAACCAGAUUAAAGAGGCAAUUGACAAGCGCUACCUUCCAGAUGAUGAGGAGCCAAUAACCCAAGAAGAACAAAUCAUGGGAACAGAUGAAUCCCAGGAGAGCAGCAUGACAGACGCAGACGACACACAACUUCAUGCAGCUGAAAGUGAUGAGUUUUAACUUCCGGAAACCAGACUUUUGCAACUGGAUGUGUGAUUAGUGCUGACAUGUUUCUUGUCCCUCCAUAUACUGAGUCUUCACUCUUGAGCCGGCAGUGUCAUCAUCCAUCACUUAGACAAUGAGUGUGCCACUUUCAUUGGACCCUGACUGUACACAGAAUGAAAGGCAGUGCAAUAUUUAGCUGCUAACAAGACUGGCUCUUUCACCAGUACGAAUGACAAUUUAGGGGGGUAAGAUGGGGAACUUUCUUUUCUUUUCUUUUUUUUUUUUUUUUCUUUAAUCUCCCUUUGUUGAAAGCUAUCAUGGAAGGAAGAGUUAACGUUUUAUCUUGAAGGAACCGUUAGGUAUGGAAAAUAGUGAUGAACCAGAAUUUUUUGGUCGUUUUCCAAAAAUUUGUUUUCAUUUGGUUCUGUUCCUGAUUAACAGAGUGACUGACCUUCAUUUCUAGGUUCUUCAAGAAUGGUGUUAGCAAGUGCCAGAUGGAACAAUAAAAGACAUUGCCUAUAA